rnacentral:rRNA from 1 species
GGACUACUGGGGUUUCUAAUCCUGUUCGCUCCCCACGCUUUCGCGUCUCAGCGUCAGUACCGUACUAGAGAACCGCCUUAGCCACGGGUGUUCUUCCUGAUAUCUGCGCAUUUCACCGCUACACCAGGAAUUCCAUUCUCCUCUUCCGGACUCUAGCUUGGUGGUUUCCAUCGGCGUCUCGAGGUUGAGCCUCGAGUUUUCACAACGGACCUACCAAGCCGCCUACACGCUCUUUACGCCCAAUAAAUCCGGACAACGCUUGCCCCCUACGUAUUACCGCGGCUGCUGGCAC